GCCUCUGUAUGAGGCCCCAAAGUGAGAAAAUUCUGUCACCUCUCUCACUUAUUUGCUCCACUUUUCAGCGAAUGUGUGCUCAAACAGGUGAGUCAUGAGA